rnacentral:lncRNA from 1 species
CCAUCCCAACUGCCACUGGGUUUCAACUGCCACCUGGGAGACUGCUGGUAAAGAUGGGAGGUGGCCUUUGCCGCUUUCCAUCUUCUCACUGCAGUUUCUUCACGUGGGCCACUUGUACUUAAAAUGUCUUCUUAAUUUAUUCUUUUUACUUCCCCAGCUCCAAUUUGUCUACAGAUUUACAAAUUUGUUUUAUAGUUUUAUGACUCAAUUUGUAUUUUCGGUCCUAUGAAGCUUUUUGCCUUAAAUAUUUUUCUCUGUUUAUAAGAAUGUGCUGUUUCCUAGGCCAGUUUUGUACACACUCUUCCAUAGAAUAGAUCCAGAAGAAACACAACAAUACUGCCUUCAUCAUAUCAGGAGAUCUUGAUACCAAAUACGAGUGUUGCCUCCAAGAUGCAAGAUCCUGAGGGCUCCAAAGAAUCCACUGUCCGUCACAAAUCGACGGUCCGCCAGCUCAGUUUCAGAGACGUGGUGCUCCGCUGCAGGCCUCAUCCUCAGGUGCACCCUGGCAGUCAGCCAUCUGAAGGUACUAUGGAAAUUCAGUUACUCACUCUUGGGAGCAGAAGGAUUCCAGACCAUUCCUGUGUGCACCCUGGCAGGGAGCCAUCUGAAGGAGGGUGGCCCAGCAGCAGCUCAGCCUGUGCUCUCACCCACCUCCUCUGCACACACCAGUCCUCGUCCUCAGCACCCAAGGCUGCCAGAGGUCCUUCAGCAGC